rnacentral:rRNA from 1 species
UACGUAGGGGGCAAGCGUUGUCCGGAAUUAUUGGGCGUAAAGAGCGUGUAGGCGGUCCGGUAAGUCGGCUGUGAAAGUCCAGGGCUCAACCCUGGGAUGCCGGUCGAUACUGCCGGACUAGAGUUCGGAAGAGGCGAGUGGAAUUCCCGGUGUAGCGGUGAAAUGCGCAGAUACCGGGAGGAACACCUAUGGCGAAGGCAGCUCGCUGGGACGUUACUGACGCUGAGACGCGAAAGCGUGGGGAGCAAACAGG